UCCUAGCCUUUUAAUUGGAGGCCUGCAUGAAUGGCUUGACGAGCGCCCUGCUGUCUCUCUUCCCAUGAACUUUUAAAUUAACUUUCGCGUGCAAAGGCGCGAAUGGCUGAGUUAGACGAAAAGACCCUAUGCAUCUUUACUGAGAGAGAAGAAAGUUCUUUAGCUUGGUUUAGCUGGGGCAGCUGAGGAAAAGGCAAAAUUUCCUUAAUAUAAGUCAUACUGGUGGGUUUAGAUCCAGGCUCUUUAGCGGGCUUGACAAGUAGAAAAGUUACGCUAGGGAUAACAGCGUUAUCCUUCUGUGGAGGUCUUAUCUGCAGGAGGGAUUGCGACCUCGAUGUUGAAUUAGGGAUAUACCAGAAAGGCGCAGAAGCUUUUAUUGUGGGUCUG
rnacentral:rRNA from 1 species